ACUAAGUCUUGGGACACACACACACACACACACACACACACACACACACACACACAUUGUAUUACAAGUAGUUAGGAAAUGCUGUUGUGUUGGUGUCUGCAUCUUUAACUUGGAGGUUAAUACAAAGCCAUCUCUGAGUCCUGGGACUAGGCCCUUCUCUCUGAGUGCUGGGACUAGGUAGGCCCUUCUCUCUGAGUGCUGGGACUGGGCCCUUCUCUCUGAGUGCUGGGACUGGGCCCUUCUCUCUGAGUGCUGGGACUAGGCCCUUCUCUCUGAGUGCUAGGUCUAGGCCCUUUCUGAGUGCUGGGACUAGGCCCUUCUCUCUGAGUGAGUGCUGGGACUAGGCCCUUCUCUCUGAGUGCUGGGACUAGGCCCUUCUCUCUGAGUGCUGAGACUGGGCCCUUCUCUCUGAGUGAGUGCUGGGACUAGGCCCUUCUCUCUGAGUGAGUCCUGGGACUAGGCCCUUCUCUCUGAGUGAGUGCUGGGACUAGGCCCUUCUCUCUGAGUGAGUGCUGGGACUAGGCCCUUCUCUCUGAGUGAGUGCUGGGACUAGGCCCUUCUCUCUGAGUGAGUGCUGGGACUAGGCCCUUCUCUCUGAGUCCUGGGACUAGGUAGGCCCUUCUCUCUGAGUGCUGGGACUAGGCCCUUCUCUCUGAGUGAGUGCUGGGACUAGGCCCUUCUCUCUGAGUCCUGGGACUAGGUAGGCCCUUCUCUCUGAGUGCUGGGACUAGGCCCUUCUCUCUGAGUGAGUCCUGGAACUAGGCCCUUCUCUCUGAGUGAGUGCUGGGUCUAGGCCCUUCUCUCUGAGUGAGUGCUGGGACUAGGCCCUUCUCUCUGAGUGAGUGCUGGAACUAGGCCCUUCUCUCUGAGUCCUGGGACUAGGUAGGCCCUUCUCUCUGAGUGCUGGGACUGGGCCCUUCUCUCUGAGUGAGUGCUGGAACUAGGCCCUUCUCUCUGAGUGCUGGGACUAGGCCCUUCUCUCUGAGUGAGUGCUGGGACUAGGCCCUUCUCUCUGAGUGAGUGCUGGAACUAGGCCCUUCUCUCUGAGUCCUGGGACUAGGCCCUUCGCUUCAGGAGCAUUCACGGAGAAGGGCUGAGGAAAGGAAGGGGAAUGUGUCUGCCCCCCCCCCCUGCGUCCCCCAGAGGACAGUGCUUAGAGCACUGCUGUUUGUGUGCAUUAGGAGCAGGGUUGGGUUUACUGACGGUUCAGCCUUGGUUCUAACCUCAUUUCUGUUGCGCUAAUCAAAUGUUUAUGAAUCCUUAUAUUUUAGUUAUUCUUUGGCAAAAAUCUGGAGAUUUUUUUUCAUAAAA